rnacentral:rRNA from 1 species
UGUGUGUUAGUGGAACGGUCUGGAAAGUCCGACGGUACAGGGUGAUAGUCCCGUACACGAAAGCACACAUGCUGUGAACUCGAAGAGUAGGGCGGGACACGUGGUAUCCUGUCUGAAUAUGGGGGGACCAUCCUCCAAGGCUAAAUACUCCUGACUGACCGAUAGUGAACCAGUACCGUGAGGGAAAGGCGAAAAGAACCCCGGCGAGGGGAGUGAAAAAGAACCUGAAACCGUGUACGUACAAGCAGUGGGAGCCUCUUUAUGGGGUGACUGCGUACCUUUUGUAUAAUGGGUCAGCGACUUAUAUUCUGUAGCAAGGUUAACCGUAUAGGGGAGCCGAAGGGAAACCGAGUCUUAACUGGGCGUUAAGUUGCAGGGUAUAGACCCGAAACCCGGUGAUCUAGCCAUGGGCAGGUUGAAGGUUGGGUAACACUAACUGGAGGACCGAACCGACUAAUGUUGAAAAAUUAGCGGAUGACCUGUGGCUGGGGGUGAAAGGCCAAUCAAACCGGGAGAUAGCUGGUUCUCCCCGAAAGCUAUUUAGGUAGCGCCUCGUGAACUCAUCUUCGGGGGUAGAGCAC